GGGUCAGUAGGUUGGUCGUGCCACCGGUACGUACUGGUCUCACUGAUUCCUCCUUCCUGAAGAACCGUAAUGCCAUUAAUUUGGUGUUGCGGGGAAACAGGACUGUUACUUUGAAAAAAUUAGAGUGUUUAAAGCAAGCUAACGCUUGAAUACAUUAGCAUGGAAUGAUGAAAUAGGACGAUCGAUCCUAUUUUGUUGGUUGCUAGGAUUGACGUA
rnacentral:rRNA from 1 species